AGAACGAACGCCGGCGGCACGCCUAACACAUGCAAGUCGAGCGCCCAGCAAUGGGAGCGGCGGACGGGUGAGUAACACGUGGGAAUAUGCCUUUCGGUACGGAACAACUCAGGGAAACUUGAGCUAAUGCCGUAUACGCCCUUACGGGGAAAGAUUUAUCGCCGAAAGAUUAGCCCGCGUCUGAUUAGCUAGUUGGUGAGGUAAUGGCUCACCAAGGCUUCGAUCAGUAGCUGGUUUGAGAGAACGACCAGCCACACUGGGACUGAGACACGGCCCAGACUCCUACGGGAGGCAGCAGUGGGGAAUCUUGGACAAUGGGGGAAACCCUGAUCCAGCGAUGCCGCGUGAGUGAUGAAGGCCUUCGGGUUGUAAAACUCGUUUCGACGGGGACGAUAAUGACGGUACCCGUAGAAGAAGCUCCGGCUAACUUCGCGCCAGCAGCCGC
rnacentral:rRNA from 1 species